rnacentral:rRNA from 1 species
UACUGUAGGGGGCAAGCGUUGUCCGGAAUUAUUGGGCGUAAAGAGCGCGUAGGCGGUCCGAUAAGUCGGCUGUGAAAGUCAGGGGCUCAACCCUUGGAAGCCGGCCGAUACUGUCGGACUAGAGUCCGGAAGAGGCGAGUGGAAUUCCCGGUGUAGCGGUGAAAUGCGCAGAUAUCGGGAGGAACACCAAUGGCGAAGGCAGCUCGCUGGGACGGUACUGACGCUGAGGCGCGAAAGCGUGGGGAGCAAACAGG